GAUGAACGCUGGCGGCGUGCCUAAUACAUGCAAGUCGAGCGAACAGACGAGGAGCUUGCUCCUCUGACGUUAGCGGCGGACGGGUGAGUAACACGUGGAUAACCUACCUAUAAGACUGGGAUAACUUCGGGAAACCGGAGCUAAUACCGGAUAAUAUAUUGAACCGCAUGGUUCAAUAGUGAAAGACGGUUUUGCUGUCACUUAUAGAUGGAUCCGCGCCGCAUUAGCUAGUUGGUAAGGUAACGGCUUACCAAGGCAACGAUGCGUAGCCGACCUGAGAGGGUGAUCGGCCACACUGGAACUGAGACACGGUCCAGACUCCUACGGGAGGCAGCAGUAGGGAAUCUUCCGCAAUGGGCGAAAGCCUGACGGAGCAACGCCGCGUGAGUGAUGAAGGUCUUCGGAUCGUAAAACUCUGUUAUUAGGGAAGAACAAAUGUGUAAGUAACGAUGCACGUCUUGACGGUACCUAAUCAGAAAGCCACGGCUAACUACGA
rnacentral:rRNA from 1 species